AGGGGGAUUCCAGAAACAGUCCAAGGCAGGCCACACACCUCAUUAGUUCAUUUUGAUUAGUCUCUUUUAUCCAGUUGUUAGGAAGGUGAACAGUGAUAGACGAGGCAGUCCUGAGAUUUUUAUCCCCUGAAUUAUAUACAGUUUGGCAAGAUGAGAUAAACCACGGAGAGAGCACAUAGAACCUGACAUGUAUAUAGCCAGAUUGACUUGUAAGAUUGUGUGAGGUUGCCUGAAAUCCUAACUCCACAGCCCUUCUUCAUUUUUCUUGCAAAGCUUUGAGGGCUUAUGCUUUGACAGCCUUUUUUGACUUUUGGCUCCUUGUCCAUUUGUGCCAUCUCUUCUUCUAUCAACCUGGGCUGAGAACCAGGACAGCUGUUCACCAGGAUGCAGAACCAGGUUGGACCCUGCACACGGGUGCCCUGCCCAGCGGCAGGGUGGCAACUAAAGCGAGCUUCAGUUCAGAUUUCCGAAGAAAGACCAGAGGGAAGGGUCUGAGGAGCUUAGAGUCACCCUUGCUGUUUGAAUAUGCUCCCGUGAGUUAUCCAAGUAUUCCUGCCAAAUGAAUGCAAAGCUCUCCCUACGGUAAUAUCUGGGAGGAACGUUUUCUCGAGCUCAAUUUGUUGGCGGUAACCAAAGCAAAGCGGUGUAUCUUUGCUAAGCUGGAAUACACUGCAUGUAACACGUCGCUGAACGGUGCUGGUUGUGGCAGCAGACCUGCCUUCAGGGAUCUCCCCCCUUCUUGGGCUCAGAAACCAAGCUGUUGAAGCCGGCUGAGAGCGGCAGUUCGGAGGAGCAGCUGAAAGCUAUUUCACCAUGAAGCAGACCUUGGCAGGCCUCAAAAGCUCCAUAUGGUCUGCAGCUCUGGUCUCCAGGAAGCGCCCAGCUCAUUCUCCC
rnacentral:lncRNA from 1 species